CCCUUAGAUGUUCUGGGCUGCACGCGUGCUACACUGAUUAUUUCAACAAGUGUUUUAACUGGAGAGUUCGCGUAAUCCUGAAAUGUUAUCGUGAUGGGAGUAGAGUAUUGUAUUUGUUAAUCUUUAACGAGGAAUUCCUAGCAAGUGUAGGUUUAUAAGUUGUUCUGAUUACGUCCCCGCCCUUUGUACACACCGCCCGUCGCUCCUACCGAUUGAUUGAUCCGGUGAAUUACAUAGAAUUUUGCGUUUUACAUGACGGAAGACGAAGUGUUUUAAACCUUAUCAUUUAGAGGAAGGAGAAGUCGUAACA
rnacentral:rRNA from 1 species